UGUGAACCUGUGCAGAUAAUUUUUUUUCCAAUCCUUCAAAUGAUUACCGUGUCCUUUACCUAAUGCCUAGUGCUUUUACAAUUACAGGCUGCCUGUAGGAUAUUAUUUUACAAAAGGAUUGACAGGGGAGCAACUCGAGCAACUUUCGUUGAAAGUAAUGCAAUCAGUUGAAGAUGCUGGGUUUGAAGUGGUUAGGUUGGUUGCUGACAACCACAGCACUAACUGCAAGUUUUUUGCCAGCUUGUCUGGUGGCCAAAUAUGCCCUGUUGUCACGCACCCUCUCGAUCCAGACAGGCAACUGUUCCUGUCGUUUGACUAUUGUCAUAUCAUAAAAAAUGUCAGGAAUCAGUUCCUCGACACUAAAAGGAUUUUCAGGAAUGCUGGAGUGCUCAUCGUUCCAGACUACCUGAGGAACUUGCAUGACAUACAAGAAAAGCAGG